CCUACGGGAGGCAGCAGUGAGGAAUAUUGGUCAAUGGACGAGAGUCUGAACCAGCCAAGUAGCGUGAAGGAUGACUGCCCUCUGGGUUGUAAACUUCUUUUAUAUGGGAAUAAAAUGUUCCACGUGUGGGAUUUUGUAUGUACCAUAUGAAUAAGGAUCGGCUAACUCCGUGCCAGCAGCCGCGGUAAUACGGAGGAUCCGAGCGUUAUCCGGAUUUAUUGGGUUUAAAGGGAGCGUAGGUGGAUUGUUAUGUCAGUUGUGAAAGUUUGCGGCUCAACCGUAAAAUUGCAGUUGAAACUGGCAGUCGUGAGUACAGUAGAGGUGGGCGGAAUUCGUGGUGUAGCGGUGAAAUGCUUAGAUAUCACGAAGAACUCCGAUUGCGAAGGCAGCUCACUGGACUGCAACUGACACUGAGGCUCGAAAGUGUGGGUAUCAAACAGGAUUAGAUACCCCAGUAGUC
rnacentral:rRNA from 1 species